ensembl:snRNA U1 U1 spliceosomal RNA
GUACUUACCUGGCAGGGGAGCUACCAUGAUCACGAAGGUGGUUUUCCCAGGGCGAGGCUCACCCAUUGGGAUGUGCUGACCCCUGCGAUUUCCCCCAAUGUGGUAAACUUGACUGUAAAAUUUGUGGUAGUGGGGGACUGUGUUCGUGCUCUCCCCUG